UUUUAUUUUCUAUUUCUUAAUGAGUCUCACUAAGUGAUAGCUUGCAUUCGGAAAAAAAAUGUAGAUGCCCCAAACUAUUUUUUAUCAUGAAGCAUCUGUAUUCAUACGUCAUCAUUUUACAUGCGCUUAGACAGCAUGACUAGUCGACACGGGGUCCACAUACGCUGCGAUGUCAAGUCCAACAUAUACACUGCGGCAGUCGGCAUAUCAAUCAGUCCAAGUCAAGCAAAGCGGCUGGGCCGGAUCUUUAUCACGAGUCGAGCCAGGCCAUACACGGACGCCUAUAUAUAUACUCCCUUCAUCUCAAAAUAAGUGACUACCACCACAUCUCCUUGUGUUGCAAACACGUAGAUCCCCUGAAAGCCCUCAACCGUGAAGCAUAUCAAGAGGGGGAAACAGCAGACAGAACAGGAGGCAUGAGGAGGAACACUCUCCUUGCCCUGGCGUCCUGGCUCAUGCUGCUUCUGCUUGCGCUCUUCAUCACAACCGCCACUGCUUCACUGCCGUGCCAGUGCUGCUGGAUCGUGCAGCAUCCGACGAGGACCUGCGGCCACGCCUGCUGCGGCAACAACUGCUGCCCGCCCGCUCCACCGCCAUCCGCAGGCUGAAAAAAAUGAUGCACAGGCUUGUUCAUCUGUAAUACAGAAGCAAAAAAUAAAAAUAAAAAUAUUCCAGAGGGAAUGGUGUUGUACUUAUACUUACCUGCUCUUCUGUGAGCAUGUAAUAGUCUCUAUUAGUUUCCAGAAAUAAACAUCUCUUGGCUCCUA